CUCCCCCUAUGGAUAUAAGGACACGCUAUGCUUUAGGGAUUGUCACCCUGUUUCCUUGUCUGAAAGAUCCAUACUCAGAAAAAGGAUAUGAGCACUUUUUUGAUGCUAAGAGUAAUGAAGGCUACAUUGCAUGGAAACUAAAAAACAUGCAGCGUGAACUCAGUAGUGGAAGCAGGAGGAGCAGCAGCUCUGGAAGGGAUUCAUCACGCAAUAGAGGACCACAGUUGGAGAGACCUGUGACCGCAGAGCAUCAGUUGGAUGGGGACCUCUGCAGAGAGGCCUUAUCCUUUUUGAGGCACUGCACUGAAGAAGGGCAGAUCUUCAUGAAGAUGAAACAAACUUUUCAAUACAGACAGAUGUUAAUUCAAGAUUCUGAGAAGUGUGAGACCAUCCUAACAGUAUUCCCAAGGUUUCUAGACACAAAGGGCCUGGUGUUGCAGGAUUUCCAAAUGAUGUUUGGUGAGGAAACCGCCUCAAAACUCUAGGAGAAAUGGGGAACUUCGUUAAAGCAGAAAGUCAUCAAAGAAGCGAAAAACCUCAGAAAAACACCAACUCUGGACUCCCUCAUUCAGUCUGCUGAGGAGAACCAUGAUGAAAAUGAAGAUUUACCAGCUUGGGACAGUGACAUGGCAGCACUGUUGCUGUUGGUUUAUCUCCUUCCUCCUCCACCUGGUGGGAAGAAGCAACCUGGAAAGAUCGCUGUUCGAGAAGCUUUAAAACGUGUCGUCCAUUUUCACAGAUCAUGCCGCAGCCUUCAAGAGGUAACAGGCCCAGUCCAGGGGAGACAGCCCUACAUUCUGGCUGUUGGAACAUCACGUGCCAGCAUCAAUGAUUAUUACAUAGUGGUGGACGGUCAACUCAUCCCCUGCAAGGCUAAGUCUUCACUUUCAGCCUUUGAUGAACUUUUCAAAGCACACUACGUGUUUGGCAUCUCCUACGACCAGCCCUUGCAGAACAUGUAUACAUUUGUGCAGACGACCAUUUACAAUAUUGAUGUUGGCCUAUGCCAUGAAAGCCCCAGGGUAAAGGACCUCAGAUCAAAGCUUCUCAAUUGACUCAGGUAAAUUAACAAAAGAAAGAUGCUCCACUGUUUUGUUUUGAAAUGUAUUCGCACUUCUGUCAAAGAUUUGGUUCGUCGUCUAAAGAUUUUCCAUGGGUUUUAUCCUGGAAAAAAUUUUCAACUUCUAUGUGACCAAGAUGGAUGUUCUCAGAGAUUUUGCACAUUUUCAGGUUUUCGAAAACAUCUUCAAAGCAAACACAGAGCUAGAA